UUCUUUAUAUUUCUUAUUAGGAUGUUACAUAUUCAGAUAUUCUAAACACUUUGGUUGCAUAUAUUUUAAAACUUUUGGUUCCUUCUUUUGAAAUACACAUAAACAUAAAUAAGGGCAUACAUCAUAAAUUAAUUGACAAGAGUUGUUCUAGCAUAAUAAGGAUUCUCAAGUUCAAAUCUUUUGAAAUGUCAAGCACAAUGAUUUAAAUUGCAAAUUGCAUCACGUGAUGCAGCCGCAAACUAUUUUUUUAGUUUUUCAAUGCAAGUUUAUAUCUUGAUUCUUUAACAAUUGUCCUACCUACUAUGUACACACACAAAAUUUACACUCACUUUAUUAUAUAUUUUGGUUCAAGCCAUUGAACAGAACUGAUAUAAAUGUAACCUUUUCUUUUCUAAUGAUUCAGAUAAUGUACCUAACUUACUCAAAAACUUGAGUACACUGAGUGUGUCAUCAACAAUGCCUGAUAUGGAAGAAGAAGAACAUGAUGAAGGAAUAGUUGAAAGAGAGAACAAAGGGAAACAAAACAUGUUGAUUGAAAAAGAUGAAGAACAUAGCAAAUGGACACAUAUACCUAGUGAUAUUCUGGAAAUGAUAAUGAAGCGUUUGAAACUUAUAGAUUUCUUUGGAACUAGUGCAGUGUGUUCAUCUUGGAAGGCUACCUUUACUAAAGCCAUUGCAAACAAGCAUAUCAAACCAUUACCUGAAUUGCCUCUUGUAAUCCUGCAAUCGACUAAGAUUCCUACAUCAGCAAGCAGUGUUUUGAGCAUCAAAUCAGAAGAAGUAUGUUCUUUCAUAAACAAAAACACAAUGUUACCUGAAAGUCACCAUAUAUGUCAUGGCACAGUUGAAGGAUGGAUGAUUUUGAGUAUUUCUCUUUUUGUUGAUAUUACCAACAUCAUCUUUUUCUUGAAUCCAGUUACCGGUGAUGUAGUAAUUGCUCCUUCACCUUUGAAAUUUCCAUCAAACUCUCCUAUUCCAAGAAGAUCAAAUUUGAAUAUGGGAAGAAUGGUGGCAUCUUCUAGUCCUAAAUGUGAAGAUUGUGUUGUAGUUGGUCUCUUUAUUGAUUAUGUCCACAUUGCAUAUUGUAGAGUUAAUCAUGACAAAUCAUGGACUAUGAUUGAAGCAAAGAAAGAGGAUGCAUGGAAUUUUCUGGAUAUGGAAAUUUUCAAUGGUAAAUUGUAUGUUAGAACUAACAUGGCAAGCAGUUCUAUGUUAGUUUAUGAUCUGCAAGAUUCGACUAAUAAUCCUCCAAAGCCUAUAGUAUUAGGUGAGAUUCCACCAAUAAGGCCAUUACCAGAAUCAAGGACACAUGAAAAUCAAAUUCAUGUUAAGGGUAAUGUCAUUCGAUUUCUAACAACAGGUUAUGCAGCAGAAGAGUUAUUGCUCAUAUACUUGUUUAACAAUUAUGUUUUUGAAAAUGAUAAUGUUGCCUAUAUGAAUGUUGUCAAGCAAUAUGCAAGUCCCCCUCAAGUUACCAAAUGUGAAGUGUUCAAGUUAGACACAAGAAGUAAUAAGUGGGUGAAGCUUGAUCACUUGGGUGACAGAGUGAUAUUUCUUGGAUAUGAUAAGUCCUACGUAAUGUCAAGAACAUUACUUAAUUGCAGUGAAGAGUUAAUUGCAGAGAAUAGUGUCUAUUUUGCUCUUUACUUUCCAUGUCCAGAACCAUGGUCGAAAGCUCAAUUGGGGAGGCUUUGUUUGACUGAUAACAAGAUCAAGUACUUUUCUUUGGAGGAAUUUGGAGUUGAACUAUAUGCUUACCCUUCCUGGUUCUUACCAAGUGCUUGGUAGUUCGUUAUUUUGCUGCUUACAUUUGCUUUAGGUUUCACCAUUGUCAUCUAUGAAUUGAUUGAUAUUUUUUUUGUAUCAUACAUUUUCAUGAAUCCUCCAUGCUAAAAGUGGUGUAAUAAUGUAGAAAAAGAAUCACAUAAUUUGGAAUUAAAGUCGUUGCUGAUCGCUGUUUUGAUGCAAAAUAUAUGGUACGAUAUGCCGUGCAAGGAAGUUAAUCCAGAAAAAGAGCAUUAAAUUGUAAAGCUAACAAAACAAGAAAAGACUUAUCUGAACUCUUCCUUCAACAACCAUUCUUUUUCAAGCUCUUCCUCCAGUUUUCUCUGCAGAAGAUCCAGUUCUGCAUCAGUAGUAGUCUCACAUCUAGCUUCCUCUGUUUUUUGCUUGCAUGCAUCAAUUUUUUCCUGAUAAU
rnacentral:lncRNA from 1 species